rnacentral:rRNA from 1 species
GAUCAACGCUGGCGGCGUGUCUAAUGCAUGCAAGUCGAACGGGGAUCACUUCGGUGGUCUUACGUGGCGGACGGGUGAGGAACACGUGGGCAACCUGCCCAACGGAGGGGAUAACCGCUGGAAACAGUGGGUAAUACCGCAUACGCCGGGAUCACGAGUGGGUGAUGUCGGGAAAGCAGCAAUGCGCCGAUGGAGGGGCCUGCGUCCGAUUAGCUAGACGGUGGGGUAACGGCCUACCGUGGCAGUGAUCGGUAGCUGGUUUGAGAGGAUGAUCAGCCACACGGGGACUGAGACACGGCCCCGACUCCUACGGGAGGCUG